GACGAACGCUGGCGGCGUGCUUAACACAUGCAAGUCGAACGGAAAGGCCCUGCUUUUGUGGGGUGCUCGAGUGGCGAACGGGUGAGUAACACGUGAGUAACCUGCCCUUGACUUUGGGAUAACUUCAGGAAACUGGGGCUAAUACCGGAUAGGAGCUCCUGCUGCAUGGUGGGGGUUGGAAAGUUUCGGCGGUUGGGGAUGGACUCGCGGCUUAUCAGCUUGUUGGUGGGGUAGUGGCUUACCAAGGCUUUGACGGGUAGCCGGCCUGAGAGGGUGACCGGCCACCUUGGUCCUGCGGUACGGCCCAGACGCCUACGGGCGGCAGCAGUCGGGAAUCUUGCACAAUGGGCGGAAGCCUGAUGCAGCAACGCCGCGUGCGGGAUGACGGCCUUCGGGUUGUAAACCGCUUUCGCCUGUGCCGAAGCGUGCGUGACGGUAAUGGGUAAAGAAGCACCGGCUAACUACGUG
rnacentral:rRNA from 1 species